GCCAGUGUGGUGUAGUGGUUUGUGUGUAGGACUAUGACUCUGGAGUCCAGGGUUCAGUUCCCUGCUCAGCCA